rnacentral:rRNA from 1 species
UACAGAGGUCUCAAGCGUUGUUCGGAUUCAUUGGGCGUAAAGGGUGUGUAGGUGGCGCGGUAAGUCGGGGGUGAAAUUUCGGAGCUUAACUCCGAAACUGCAUUCGAUACUGCGGUGCUUGAGGACUGGAGAGGAGACUGGAAUUCAUGGUGUAGCAGUGAAAUGCGUAGAGAUCAGGAGGAAGACCAGUGGCGAAGGCGGGUCUCUGGACAGUUCCUGACACUGAGACACGAAGGCCAGGGGAGCAAACGGG